AAGGAGAGGAAGAGAGAACCAAGAGUGAGCAAAUCUUCACCGAUUUGAGUGAUUCAAAAAUCUAAAUCACCUAGAACUUUCCUCUCUUUCAUAAUCCUAGCUUAGUUUUUAGUGGAGAGCGUUGAGGAGUGGGAUAUCCUCCUCCAAAAAUUCGGCCCGUUGGAUAAAUUGAGGUGUUUGAUGGCUUCUACCUCCAUGGAAGCUUGAGGGGCAACAUUUCCAUUGUGGUGUGAUCCUUGGUGGAUUGAGGCAUUUGGACCAACCGUGAGUGAGCAACCAUUGGAGCAAGCUAUGGAGCUUGAUUAGCUCUUGGAAUAGGUGUGUUACUUGUAAGUCAUAGUUGAAACCAGAGUUGAUUGGUUGCUGAACCUGUUGGUGGUGAACAAAGGUUGAACUGAAGCUUUGAGGUAAGUAUGUUGCAGGAGCCAACAGUGGCAAAUGGCCAUACUUGGACUAGUAGUGAUGCAUGAGGAUCCUGUCUUUUGAUAUUAUACAUGUCAUUUUGUAGUUCACAUGUAUAGGAUUGUUAAUUGAUAGCCAAUGGAUGGAUGUAGAUUCUGUGUAUUUGGAAUGAACUUAGCCUAUGCUCAUGCCUUUGAUUAUCUCUUUUGUUGAUGGGAGCCAAGGGAGUGAUCGUAGUGUUUUGUAAGCUAAGUUCCAGGAUUUGUAAUAAACAUGAUCUGUAAUUGAUGAUUACUUUAAGUUCAAUAUAUGCA